rnacentral:lncRNA from 1 species
UCGACGUGAUCUGGUGGGAGUGGAAACCCGAUAUCCCGCAUAAGCUUCUGCGGGAGAGGUUUCUUACAUCGUGACCAACGGAAAACAUCAAUUACACUGUUGUCUGAAUCUGUAUCUGUUUUUUCACCGUCUGUUGUCACAUGAGGGAGAGGUUUCCUCCAUCGUAACCAACGGAAAACGUUUAAGGAAAACAUGACAGAGUUGUUAUUGUUAUCCAUCUCCUUAGCUUCUUCGGAUGAUGAGUGUUGUUGUUGGGAGGCUUGGAAUUCUUUCAUAGUCUUCUCUCCAGCGAAACAGAGCUCAUACCUAUUUGCCAUACAAAAGAGUUUGAUUUAGCAUGUAACAAUAUCUCAUUAAUGUUGUUUGAUAUAAACAUGUGUUUAAAUACCUGGAUGAAUGUGUUUCAAGGUACAAAACUUCUCCUUUCUUCAAGCGAGCAGAGGUGAAAAGAGGCUUUUUCAGACCCUUAUCGGCCACAGCGCUUAUGCUAUAUUUGAUCCUGCAAGAAACAAAAAAGAAAAGUAAAUCAAUGCGUGGGUAAAAAGUGAUCUUAGAAGGUAAAGAUUAUCUAAAGCAUUGUGCGGAAGUUUUCAGAGAGUUUACCAAGGUUCAUUGCAGAGGUUGUAUUGUAUUGUUACUUCUCGAACAAACCUUUGUUGCCGCUGACCAUUCUACAGAACGGUAAACAAGUCAUCAGUACUGAAACAUGUCUAAUCAAAUUUUGAAAUGCAAGUGAAGUGAGGGAUAGAGAAUCAGAGAUUUUAAAGUACCGAAGCUGCAGCUCUGGUGGUCAUAGACUUAUCAACAGCCAUUGGUGCAAGUGUUGGCUCUGAGGAGUGUGUAAGAGAGGGUUCCAGUUCUAUAGUUCCACCUCCUUUCUGAAAUAAAAACACCAGUAAGGACUUGAAAAAGAAUCCACUUUUUAAACUGGAUAUUAUGAACAUCCUGCCAAGGAAACAAGGAGGACAGAUAACAAAGAGAUGUCAAAUUAAUAACCUUAAGUAUAUAGCACCGCUCAACUUUGUAACUGCAUCCGAUUCCAGCUCCCCAUGAUCGAGAGCGGACAUUGUUCCUUAGCUUGGAGGUAUAGUCUUAAAAUAUAAUAUAUAUCGAAUAUAAAAAGUUAGUAUGAACAUGGAAAAGUCAAUAAAAGCACAAAGAUAAAAACCUAACUUACAAUCUUGUGACGGCAAGACUCUAAUGGUAGCACGCAACUCUUGCAAUGUCGGUGGAGGAGGGGAAGAUGUAGGACGACAAUAACCUGUAUGCAUGAGAACUAGAAGACAUACCAGAAUCAGUGUUAUGUUAGUUCAAAGCCAAGGCAUGAAAUGCAAAGAUUCUUUAGGACACGUACCAGCAACAAGAUCUGAAUCAUCUGUGUAUAUGUCUGUUCCCCAUAGCUGGCCACCUCUUACCUUCAUAAAAAUAAGCCAAAGGUCUCAAUAUACAAUAAAAAAAGAUUAUGAGAAAGUCUUUGGAUGUAUCUUCGUCUUACUCGGCGGUUAGUAGCAGUAACAUACUCAGCUGGAAUCUGAACUUCAAGAGUGGGGCCAUUACUUGCGAACUCACCACUUUUGUCAGGCUGAGAAGAUUCAUAUUCCUUCCACAAUUUAAUCAGUUCUUGCAUACAUUCCCCAACGUUGUAAACAACAACCGGAACCUCUGAUUCGCCUGGAUCAUUCAGUAAAACAAAAAUUCAACAAGCUGUCGCUCUGACCAAAACUAUGUUCCAUAUAAAAGUUGAUAAAAGCAGCAGAAACUUGAUACAUGUGAGCUCAACCUUAUACUAAUCUUAUACUUGAUAAAAAAAACAAUGCAGAGAUAUAAGCAACUUUAAGCAACACAAAUGAAGUAGCAUUGGGGAUUGAAACCGACUUUUUGGUCCAAUCAUUUUAUAUUUUAACAUUCUACCGUUACUCUGCAACCUAAAGGCAAGCCUAAGAAGGAAACCUCAUAGAUUAAUUAUCAAGUACAAGUGUGUCGCAGAUGACCAUCAUCAAUGCACAUAUAAAAACGAAUGCCAGUUUAACCGAUUAUUUUUCUUUCACUAUUGUUCACCAAGCAGUGCAAAUCGAUCCUUUCUCGAAGACAUAGUAACGAAUGAUUACCUUGUACCCUGCAAAGAAAACACACACACAAUCAAACAUGGAUGAUGCAUUAGAAACCAGAUUAGUGACUGACAAAAGUUUAAGGACUUAGACCAAUCAACUAACUUACAUGGUAAAAGAAACGAAGGGAAAAUAAUCUUCUUAACACAGAGAGUAAGGGAGGCGGCAGGGAAGAAUAUCAAAAGAGACGGCAAAUUUAGGUUUUCAAGGUGCAAAAUUUUCUUUACAGGCUUUUUAAAAGAAAAGAAAACAAUAAUGGUAAUGAGAUAUUCUCAACAAUAAUCAAUAUCGCCUGCAGAUUUUACUAAAUAUGUUCAAAUUUCAACCAAUCCUGGCGUCUCUACUCUCUCCAAAAGGUAAAAAAAAUUAUAGGAUUAAGCUAAGAUAUGAGAGGCUAAUACUAAUUAGACAGCGUCUAAUAUAAAUGCGUAAGACAAAGAGACGCACGCAACCUUCGUAGUUGUCCUGACUCCGUGAACGGACACGGUCGUGGUUUGUGGGCUGUCACAUAUUCCUCUUGUGCAGGUUUUGGCAGAUGCUUCACCGAGCUCUUUCUCGUUCUGUGAGACCUCUUCAGCAUCAGUCUCUAGCUCUCUUUUAAUAUGAUCUUUUUUUUCUUCUCCUUCUUUCUUUCUCCAUCGUUCUGCUCCACCCUCUCUCUCGUUUCCCACCUAUCGGUUUAUUUUUCUUCGCUUCCAGUCUCUUUUGGUUCGCUCAUGACACACUAUCAGCAAACAUUGAUCCUCUGCGGUCAUUUCUAUCCUUAUCACGGGAUGCAACACACAGAUCCACAUUUGCGUUUGAACCUUCACCUCUCUUCCCUCUAUGUUAAUCCUUCUACUCUUUCCAAGCCAAGUGAGCAUGCCCAUCCUUAGUCUCAGCCUUUGUGUCGUUAUAGUUUCUGACCCUCCCUAUCAACACAUUGUUGAAAUGGCGGCUAAUGGUUUCACAAGAGAGGUGGAACCUCUCUUGUAUAACUCUGAUUCGCUGAUUAUGACCUAUAAUGCUUAAGAAUAUAGCAACCUGCUCUUCCACCAGAACAGUGAUGGUAUCUCUCAGCAGUCCUUGCUCUCUAAAAGUGUCGGAUAGUUUGUGAAACAGACGUUUAUCCAUCCGAAGCACUUCCCUGCAAUCUUCAACAGGUCCUUGAAGCAAGUCUUUUAAAUAUGUACCUCUUGUAGAAGGCGAAGUUCCCGGAGGUUGGUUUACUAGACUUUGGUAGUAUAAGUAACCAGCAGCUGCAGCAACUAGCUCCAUCUCAUCUAGUUCUAAGUCUAAAUCGAUGCUACUAGUGGAGGAAUCUGAAAGUAUAGCCAAAAGUACCAGUCAGUGUUCUAAAAAUCGGUCUAUGCGGAGUCUAGCCGUCUGCUUAAGUGGCAAAUCGGAUUUAAAUGGUUUAAGUGUUUGUCCGACUAAUCAAUAAUCCUCUAUAAAGCUCCUAAUUACGGUCUAGCUAUUUUUUUAACAUUGGUAAUAAUGUAACUAAAUUAAUGUCAUUAUGAUCAGUGUUUGUACCAGUGACAAUAUCAAAUGUUUUAUUUCAAAUAUUGUUUCAAACACCUUGUAAGUUGUCUCCGUUCUUCUUAGUCAAAGCUGCUGCUCUCAUUUUGGAAGCUGCUGCGAGUUCUAGCAUGGCUUCAACUAUGGCAACACCACCAGCCUUGCGGUUUCUCCUGCGAGACGGUCCAGAACCACCAGAAGGUGCUGUCGGAAUACGCUUGUUGUGUCCGUUAAUGACGUGUACUUCGUCUCCAGAGCCGCCAGAGGAAAGUUCAUCAUCAUCAUCAUCACCAUCACCAGACAUCAUUCUUCAACAUGCAAAAACCAACGCAAGUGAUUCAGACAGAAGAGAAUGUGCGAAGCUUAGUACAAGACCUUAGCUCAAAGCAUCAAGUUUGAACAAGAAGAAGGUUUGGUUCUGAGAAAAAUUUGAGCGAUUGCUAAUGGCCUCGAACAUUAGGGAUUCUGACAAUUGAGUCCUGUCCCUUAGUUUUGUUUUCUUUUCAUUAGUCGCUCAAAACUUUCAACACUUUAUGUUUUUGGCGUCAUAUUUUAUCCGAUAUCAAAUUAGCCCAGAAUCCAAAAAUAUAAUUUAAUUUGUCUACUUGAGACGAUUAAUCAAGUGGCUAAUCUUCAAUAUCUCCACAAAAAAUAAUAAUUUAUCGACUUGAGAUGAUUAAUCAAGUGGCUAAUCUUCAAUAUCUCAGACUAAAGAUUAACAGAACCUCUUAAACUUAUUACUCAUGAUUCGCCAUGAGUUAAUCACACUGAUAAAUAAAAGAGAAUUGGAAAGAAGAAAGAAAAAUCCAAAGGGGAUUGAUUAUCUAUAAUCUUUACUAAAUUAACAAUCAAACCAUUUUUGCAUAAAGUUUACAAAAGAAAAGAACAAGAACACAAGAAGAGACUCAAAAGAAACUAUAAUCUCUAACAAUAGAUCAGAUAAAGACAUGAAAAGCUUUUUAUUUUCUCUUCAGCUGGGAGCCAAGAAAUGAACACGAGCAAGUGUGUACUCUUUCCCAGCAAUCCAAACACCAGUCUGUGACCAUUGUACAUCUUCCCAAUCCAGAUUCUCCUCCAACACCUGUUUCUCAAUUCCACAAACAUCAUCAUCAUCACUUGUUUUAUAAUUAACAAAAAAAUACAAGAAUUUUACUAAAUUAAUGUUAACCUCGACGUGAUCUGGUGGGAGUGGAAACCCGAUAUCCCGCAUAAGCUUCUGCGGGAGAGGUUUCUUACAUCGUGACCAACGGAAAACAUCAAUUACACUGUUGUCUGAAUCUGUAUCUGUUUUUUCACCGUCUGUUGUCACAUGAGGGAGAGGUUUCCUCCAUCGUAACCAACGGAAAACGUUUAAGGAAAACAUGACAGAGUUGUUAUUGUUAUCCAUCUCCUUAGCUUCUUCGGAUGAUGAGUGUUGUUGUUGGGAGGCUUGGAAUUCUUUCAUAGUCUUCUCUCCAGCGAAACAGAG